AGAUUGAACGCUGGCGGCAUGCUUUACACAUGCAAGUCGAACGGCAGCACGGGGGCAACCCUGGUGGCGAGUGGCGAACGGGUGAGUAAUGCAUCGGAACGUAUCCUUGAGUGGGGGAUAACGCAGCGAAAGUUGUGCUAAUACCGCAUAAUACCUACGGGUCAAAGCAGCAAUGCGCUGAAAGAGGGGGUCGCGGCCGAUUAGCUAGUUGGCGGGGUAAUGGCCCACCAAGGCAGUGAUCGGUAUCCGGCCUGAGAGGGCGCACGAACACACUGGAACUGAAACACGGUUCAGACUCCUACGGGAGGCAGC
rnacentral:rRNA from 1 species